rnacentral:rRNA from 1 species
UAGGGAAUCUUCGGCAAUGGGGGCAACCCUGACCGAGCAACGCCGCGUGAGUGAAGAAGGUUUUCGGAUCGUAAAGCUCUGUUGUAAGUCAAGAACGAGUGUGAGAGUGGAAAGUUCACACUGUGACGGUAGCUUACCAGAAAGGGACGGCUAACUACGUGCCAGCAGCCGCGGUAAUACGUAGGUCCCGAGCGUUGUCCGGAUUUAUUGGGCGUAAAGCGAGCGCAGGCGGUUUGAUAAGUCUGAAGUUAAAGGCUGUGGCUCAACCAUAGUUCGCUUUGGAAACUGUCAAACUUGAGUGCAGAAGGGGAGAGUGGAAUUCCAUGUGUAGCGGUGAAAUGCGUAGAUAUAUGGAGGAACACCGGUGGCGAAAGCGGCUCUCUGGUCUGUAACUGACGCUGAGGCUCGAAAGCGUGGGGAGCGAACAGGAUUAGAUACCCUGGUAGUCCACGCCGUACGAUGAGUGCUAGGUGUUGGAUCCUUUCCGGGAUUCAGUGCCGCAGCUAACGCAUUAAGCACUCCGCCUGGGGAGUACGACCGCAAG